rnacentral:rRNA from 1 species
UACGUAGGGGGCAAGCGUUGUCCGGAUUUAUUGGGCGUAAAGAGCGUGUAGGCGGCUAGAUAGGUCCGUUGUGAAAUCUCGAGGCUCAACCUCGAGACGUCGAUGGAAACCAUUUGGCUAGAGUCCGGAAGAGGAGACUGGAAUUCCUGGUGUAGCGGUGAAAUGCGCAGAUAUCAGGAGGAACACCGAUGGCGAAGGCAGGUCUCUGGGCAUUAACUGACGCUGAGGAGCGAAAGCAUGGGGAGCGAACAGG